rnacentral:rRNA from 1 species
UACGGCUACCUUGUUACGACUUAGCCCCAGUCACUAAUUUCACCUUCGGCCGCUCCCUCCCUAAGGUUGGGUCACGGACUUCGGGUGCCCUCAGCUUCCAUGGCUUGACGGGCGGUGUGUACAAGGCCCGGGAACGUAUUCACCGCGUCGUUGCUGAUACGCGAUUACUAGCGAUUCCAGCUCCAUGGAGUCGAGUUGCAGACUCCAAUCCGAACUGAGAUCGGCUUUGUGGAUUAGCUCCCUCUCGCGAGGUGGCAGCCCAUUGUACCGACCAUUGUAGCACGUGUGCAGCCCUGGGCAUAAGGGCCAUGAUGACUUGACGUCGUCCCCACCUUCCUCACUGCUUGCGCAGGCAGUCUCACUAGAGUCCCCACCAUAACGUGCUGGUAACUAGCAAUAGGGGUUGCGCUCGUUGCGGGACUUAACCCAACAUCUCGCGACACGAGCUGACGACAGCCAUGCAGCACCUCAUUACCAGCCCGAAGGAAACCUCUUUUCGGAGGCUGUCCGGUAAUGUUCGAGCCCAGGUAAGGUUCUUCGCGUUGCAUCGAAUUAAGCCACAUGCUCCACCGCUUGUGCGGGCCCCCGUCAAUUCCUUUGAGUUUCAAUCUUGCGAUCGUACUCCCCAGGUGGAAUGCUUAACGCGUUAGCUUAAGCACUGCCCCCCAAUCCGGGGCAACACCGAGCAUUCAUCGUUUA